rnacentral:lncRNA from 1 species
AUGCAAAUCCUAAAGCCAUUGUUUAUUGAUACUGGAAUAAUCUUAAGCCAAAUUG